rnacentral:tRNA from 1 species
GGGGCCGUAGCUCAGCUGGGAGAGCGCCGCGUUCGCAAUGCGGAGGCCGCGAGUUCGAUCCUCGCCGGCUCCACCA